rnacentral:rRNA from 2 species
GUUUCCGUAGGUGACCUGCGGAAGGAUCAUUG